rnacentral:rRNA from 1 species
UAGAGUUUGAUCAUGGCUCAGAACGAACGCUGGCGGCGUGGAUAAGACAUGCAAGUCGAACGGGAAUUUAUUUAUAGCAAUAUGAGUGAAUUCUAGUGGCGAAAGGGUGCGUAACACGUAGCUCACCUACCUCGAAGUUGGGGAUAGCUCGGCGAAAGCCGAAUUAAUACCGAAUGUGAUCGUGAGAUCAAAGCUGGGGAUCGUAAGACCUGGCGCUUUGAGAUGGGGCUGCGGCCUAUCAGGUAGUUGGCGGGGUAAUGGCCCACCAAGCCGAGGACGGGUAGCUGGUCUGAGAGGACGACCAGCCACACUGGAACUGAGACACGGUCCAGACACCUACGGGUGGCAGCAGUCGAGGAUUUUUCUCAAUGGGGGAAACCCUGAAGGAGCGACGCCGCGUGGGGGAUGAAGGUCUUCGGAUUGUAAACCCCUGUCAUCUGGGAACAAUGUGAUUCACCUAACACGUGGAUUAUUGAUUGUACCGGAAGAGGAAGCCGUGGCUAACUCUGUGCCAGCCGCCGCGGUAAUUC